UACGUAGGGGGCGAGCGUUGUCCGGAUUUAUUGGGCGUAAAGAGCGUGUAGGCGGCCAGGUAGGUCUGCUGUGAAAACUCGAGGCUCAACCUCGAGACGUCGGCGGAAACCGCGUGGCUAGAGUCCGGAAGAGGAGAGUGGAAUUCCUGGUGUAGCGGUGAAAUGCGCAGAGUAUCAGGAAGAACACCCGUGGCUAAGGCGGUUCUCUAGUACGGUACUGACGCUGAGACGCGAAAGCGUGGGGAGCGAACAGG
rnacentral:rRNA from 1 species